GAUGCCUAAAGAAAAAGAGAUUGUGGACAUCGUGAGGACGUUGGCUGGCUGAUGAACUCAUAAGUGUAGGCAGCAUGCUACAUGAUGGGCAAAGUUUUUGCUUACACCACACGGGUGGUUAGUCCAAUGGGGUGGAAUUUGAUCAUAAUCUUUUCUAUGAAA
rnacentral:snoRNA from 1 species